rnacentral:antisense_RNA from 1 species
AAGGGGAGUACUUCCCAGCCUCGCCUCCCCUGCCCACCAGUUCCCCUCUACCUAAGGCAGCAGCGCUCAGAAGCCGAGGGACAGGGACGUAGGAUGUCUGGUCUGAAUGGGGAGUUCAAAAGCCCUCUGCUGUGGCCUGAACUGCCUCAGGGAGUUCCAUUGCCUUCAAUGCAACAGAUGUCUAGGUCUUGGCAGGGUCUAGUUGGGGGACUGCUGAGCCAUGCAGAACCCACUCUGGGGUGGGGUGGGGGGCCCUAAGCACUACCGUUUCCCUGCCUAGGUGGCUCCAGAAGGAGGAAGGGUCCACCCAGCGUUGGGAAAGGGCUGCCUGUGAAAGUGAGGCCCCCUCUGUCCCCUCCAUUGGCUUCCUGCCCAGGUCGAGGGGAGAAUUCAAGGCCCCUUGGGCAUCUGCCCUUGGGUUCUUGAAGGAACUAAAGUUGGUGCCUAGACGCCUGACUUGGGGGUGUUCCCCAGCGUGGCAUGCCUCAGGCGACAGAGGCCAGGGUCUCUAGGGCAGAGCCACAAUCCACACUGAAUAGGACCCCGUAA